rnacentral:lncRNA from 1 species
AAAACCCUACACCCUAAACCCUAAACCCUAAACCCUAAACCCUAAACCCUAAACCCUAAACCCUAAACCCUAAACCCUAAACCCUAAACCCUAAACCCUAAACCCUAAACCCUAAACCCUAAACCCUAAACCCUAAACCCUAAACCCUAAAAACCCUAAACCCCUAAACCCUAAACCCUAAACCCCUAAACCCUAAACCCUAAAAACCCUAAACCCUAAACCCUAAACCCUAAACCCUAAACCCUAAACCCUAAACCCUAAACCCUAAACCCUAAACCCUAAACCCUAAACCCUAAAAACCCUAAAAACCCUAAAAACCCUCAAACCCUAAACCCUAAACCCUAAACCCUAAACCCUAAACCCUAAACCCUAAACCCUAAACCCUAAACCCUAAACCCUAAACCCUAAACCCUAAACCCUAAAAACCCUAAACCCUAAACCCUAAACCCUAAAAACCCUAAACCCUAAAAACCCUAAACCCUAAACCCUAAACCCUAAACCCUAAACCCUAAACCCUAAAAACCCUAAACCCUAAACCCUAAACCCUAAACCCUAAACCCUAAACCCUAAACCCUAAACCCUAAACCCUAAACCCUAAACCCUAAACCCUAAACCCUAAACCCUAAACCCUAAACCCUAAACCCUAAACCCUAAACCCUAAACCCUAAACCAAAAACCCUAAACCCUAAACCCUAAACCCUAAACCCUAAACCCUAAACCAAAACCAAAAAACCCGUUAUUGCUACAGUAAAAAACUCUCUCAACUUUGGUUACUGUUCAUGUAACUUUGACCAGCGUUGACCCCGCGUUGACCAGGCUUUGACCGGCCAUUAUGGCCUCAUCGGAAGAUGGUGAUGAUGAUCGGCCACCCUCCAACCCUCCCCCCCAUGCCGGCGACCAACAUACUCACCGGCCGAACCUAGAUCUACCGCCUUUACCCCCACAAAUCCACUCAAAAGCUCGGCCUUCCUCCUCCACCGUCCUCCCGGAAAAUACCAUCGUUUUGGCACUAUCUGGGCACACAUCCGAGCUGCCGACGCCCUCCCUGCCUCCCCAUGACACAAACCGGCCACCCAAAACGAAAAAAAACCAGUCAAAAACCAAACCCAGUUCACGGGUUCCUUUCCCCCCCACGGUGGAUGCCGUGCCACCAACCUUGCCCACUUCGGGCGAUGCUCAACAACUCCUAACCAUCCCUGCAAACCAGCCAUGCAAUGAGUUAACCAUGCCCACCCUCGCUGCAUCCGGAUCGGGCAACAUCAGCCCGCGGCAGUCGCAACUCCACAUCGCUUCUGCGCAACUUCCAGUCGCUGUCCAAGGUCACUCUAGCCUUGAGGAACCUACCCAUGACGAUCUGAACCAGCCCUCCUAUGCUCAGAACAAUGAGUUUGCCGCGCCUCUGCUUGCUGCUCCUGGAUCGAGCAACUCAUACCCGCGGCCUGUGCAACUUCGAUCUGCAGCGGAGCAAGUUCCAGCAGCCAUUACCGACCAACCUGGCCUUCGGGAACCAGUUCAUGAUGACUUGAAUCAGCCACCCAACUGUCAGUUCCCGGAACCCACGUUGGCAGCAGCUGCAGAAACUUCCAGCCGCGCCGAGCUCAUCUCCACCUUGACAGCAUCCAUCGCCGCGGCCGUUGACGCCUUUCUCCGGCCGAACUCAUCACCUCCAACAUCAACAUCCCCCAUCCAGCCAAUACCACCCAUGACAGACCACUCCCCAGCCGCAGCCAAAGAAACGCACCAGCCGGCCCUAAAAUCCCAAACAUCACAAAACCCUAAUAUCCACCCGUUUCCACCCAUCACAACCCGAGCCCAUGACCAAACCCGAACCCACCCACCCAAUCACCAGAUCCGAACCCACCAUUUAAAUAACCCAACCAAUUUACAAGCCCAACAGCCCAUUUCUUUUAAUUCUCUCCAUCAAGCCCAACAGCCCCCUCUUUUUAACCCUCUCCACCAAGCCCAAAACAAAAACAAUUUCCAAGCCCAACAACAAACUAAUAAAAGCCUAGAACAACAAUCCAAGCCCAACCCAGUUUUUAAAAAACCUUCCUAUGCUAAUGUUACUAAUCCCGCUCAUAUUCUUAAUCCCAAUGCUCCAACUCACCCGAAAUCAUUUGUGGAUACAGUUGCGGGCGUGUCCACCACAAUUCCUCCUAAACCGAUUUCUCUGGUCCGCGGCGAACCGGCUGUACAUUUUUCGGCUGCAGAAAUUCAAACAAUGGCAGAACCAUUCAAAUUAUCCCUCGUAGGUAAAUUUUCUUUUGGCCGACCUCCUAUGGAAUUAAUCAGAAAAUUUUUUGUUUCUCUUGGUCUCAAAGGAAAUUGCCAAAUAUCUUUAUUGGAUUCUCGCCAUGUUUUAAUUAAACUUGUUUUAGAAGAGGAUUAUUCUAGAAUUUGGUUGCGACAGACAUGGUUUAUUAAUGGGCGGGGCAUGCGAGUCUUUAAAUGGAGCACUGAUUUUCGGUGUUCCGUAGAGUCUCCGAUUGUUCCGGUUUGGGUGUCAUUACCUCAUUUACCUGUGCAUUUCAUUCAUUGUAAAUCUGCUCUUUGCUCCAUUGCUUCUGCCAUUGGUACCCCACUUCGGGUUGACCACGCUACGGCUUCGGUUACUCGGCCGACUGUAGCUCGUGUUUUAGUGGAGUAUGAUGUUUCCAAGCCGUUAUUACCGCGCAUAUGGAUUGGUGAGGGGGAGUCAGGUUUCUGGCAAGAUGUGGUUUUUGAACGAGCUCCGGCCUAUUGUGCUACUUGCAAACAUCUCGGCCAUUCUGUGGACUCUUGUUAUAUUGCUAAUCCGGAGCUUCGCAAGACUCAGCCUGCAGCUGGGGCCCAGUCCAGAGACGAGGGCAAAAUGAAGAAAUCUGACACCGUGAUUCAGCCACAGCAGCCUAGUACUACCCGUUUUGUGGUUAUUUCUGAUCACCGCACUCAGGGCCCGAGUACCCAGCCUCCAGUAGAUCCGUCUCCGGCCCCCCCGCUCGAUGAGUCUCGGCCAGUGGACACUUCGCCGCCAGGCGCACCCUUGGAUCAUCCUGCUUCACACCCCGAUGAUGUCUCUACCUCCCCGGGUAUUAUUCCAGUGCACACAGCGGACCACACUCAGGUUGGAUUUAACUCACAUUCCACAGAUAUCCCCGACCUUGAUGAUGGUGAUAGGCAUAGACGUUUGGGUUUAUCCCGUUCGACUGAGGACGUCCCCCCUGAUUCAGACAGAGAGUUGGGCGAUGAGGGUCGGUUCCUCACUGAUUCUGAGGAGAUUCAUCCACCACCAGCCCCAGAUGCAGUUAUUGAGAGCUUUGAUAGUGAGCGGGUCGCGAGCUCUUCUCGGGAUUUCUCCCCCGUGCAGGGUCGCCGUCUCCGUAGCCAUCAGAGGCGGAUGCGGCAUCGUUCCCCCACUCCUGAUGAUUAGUUCCCUUAUUUGGAACAUUCGGGGGAUUGGCAAAACCCCCGCCAUCCGCAGAUUGCGGAAAUUGAUUCAUAUGCAUCGCUUGUCUUUGAUUUGUAUUUUGGAGCCGUUUAUUUCGGUGGAUCGUCUCGAGGCUAUCAGGGUGCAACUUGGGAUGGAGCAUGGUCUUUCUUCUCAGUCUGGGAAGAUUUGGAUUUUUUGGUCGGCUCCUUUCUCGGUGGAGCUGCUUCACGACAUGGGGCAGGUGCUUCAUUGCCGGGUUAGUCACUCUCUACUUCCCGAUCCAGUAUUAGUUUCGUAUGUUUAUGCUAGUUGUUUUAUGGAUGUUCGUGAGGAUUUAUGGGCUGCUCUAGAGUCCUUUGCCGAUAGCCAUGAUCUCCCGUGGAUUGUUGGAGGUGAUUUCAAUGUUGUUCAGGCUGUAUCAGAGAUUUCUGGCGGUCACCCUCAGCCUCAGGGGGCCAUUGAUGCUUUUAACUUAGCAUUGCUUGAUUGUGGUUUAGAGGAUGCAGGCUUUGUUGGUAGUCCAUUUACUUGGACUAAUGGCCACACCUGGCGGCGGCUUGAUAGAGUUGUUUGCAAUGCCCGUUGGUCAGCUUUUUUCUCCGUUUUUCGGGUCUCGCAUCUGAACCGCACCGCAUCCGAUCAUUCUCCCCUUCUCCUGUCUUGGGAUCGAGAUACGACUAGAGGCCCUUCUCGGUUUAAAUUCCUCCAUGUUUGGCUCAAGCACCCGGGGCUCAUUGAUAUUGUGCGGCACUCCUGGAAUGCUCCGGUGGUCGGUGCUGGGAUGAGGGCCUUUCAGCAGAAGCUUGUCCGGUUGAAGCUCUGCUUGAAAGCUUGGAAUAAAGAUAUAUUUGGCAACGUCUUCUCUCAGGUUCAGCAGGCGGAGGAGGAGGUGGCUCAGAAGGAGAGAUUGUAUGAUAUUUCUGGUUCCGCUGAUGACAGAGCUUCCUUUUCUGAGGCUAGGGCUCGAUUACAGCAGGCUUUGCUCCGUGAGGAGAUUUUUAUGCGCCAGCAGUCUAGUGUUCGAUGGGUCCGCGAGGGCGACUCCAACACCCGCUUUUUCCACGCCAUGAUCCGGAAAAAGCGUCAGUUAUUCCAUAUCCACAGGAUUCGUGAUGAUUCUUCUUCUGAGUGGAUUACUGAUCCCUCUGCUGUUGCCACUUCUGCUGUUGAUUUCUUUCGGGAUUUAUUGUCUGGGGACGAUGGGCGGUUCCAGCAGACUGAUUUCGACACCAUUCCCACUCUUGUGACUGCGGAGGAUGAUGCCGUUUUAUGCAGGGAGCCGGAUCUUGAUGAUGUUAGACGGGCGGUCUUUUCCAUUGAUCCUGAGAGCGCCCCGGGUCCUGAUGGCUUCUGCAGCAGGUUUUACCAGGUUUGCUGGGACAUUGUAGGGCGGGACUUAUUAGAUGCUGUUCUUGACUAUUUCCGAGGUUCGGCCAUGCCCAGGGGCUUCCAGAGCACUUUAUUGGUCCUUCUGCCCAAGAAGGAAUCCCCUUCCUCUUGGAUUGACUUCCGGCCGAUCAGUCUCUGUAACGUGAGCAACAAGGUUAUCACCAAGUUGCUUGUUCAGAGACUGUCACCCAUUCUGCCUCGGAUUAUUUCCCCUACUCAGAGUGGUUUUGUUCCCGGACGGGUAAUUCAUGACAACGUGCUCCUAGUUCAGGAACUCGCUCACGAUCUCAACCGCCGUACCCGCGGGCACAAUGUGGUGUUGAAACUCGAUAUGGAAAAGGCUUAUGAUCGUAUGUCUUGGCCAUUCAUUCUCCAGAUGCUUCGUUGCUUUGGGUUCUCGGAGCGUUGGAUUUCUCUGAUUCGGAGAGCUGUCUACGGCCCUUGGUUCUCGGUGCUUGUGAGUGGAGCCAUUCACGGGUAUUUUCAGUCUGAGAGGGGACUUCGGCAGGGCGAUCCCAUUUCUCCUUGCCUCUUUAUUAUUGCCGCUGAGUUUCUAUCUCGAGGUUUAACCCACCUGUAUUCUCGGUAUCCUUCGGUUAGGUACCGAUCGGCUGCUCCUACGGAUAUCUCCCAUUUGAGCUUUGCGGAUGACAUUGUUAUUUUUGCAAAUGGGAGCCGCGGUAGUUUACAGCGGAUUAUGGAUUUCCUUCGCCACUAUCAGGCGGUUUCGGGGCAGUUGAUUAGUCGGACCAAGAGCGGCUUCUACAUCGGGAAACCAGCCUCAGCUUCAUGUCGGACUAUUGUGCACUCAGUUACUGGUUAUCAGUGGCGACAGCUCCCUUUUAUUUAUCUUGGGUGUCCGAUUUUCACCGGGUGCCUCAAGAUUUCUUAUUUUGAUGAUUUGGUCCGGAAGGUCAGGGAGAGGAUCUCCGGCUGGGCCAACCGAUUGCUCUCCUUUGGUGGGAAGCUGAUUCUCAUUCGUCACGUGCUGUCUGCUUUGCCUUUGCAUUUAUUUCAUGUUCUCCGUCCUCCCUCGACGGUGAUCCAGAGCUUAGAGAGAUUAUUCACCCGAUUUUUAUGGGGGGACUCCGAGGGGCGACGGCGGAUCCACUGGUGUAGAUGGCCGGCAGUUUGUUUUCCCGUUGAUGAGGGCGGUCUCGGCAUUCGGUCCUUCGAUGAUAUGGCAGAGGCUUUUGAGAUGAAACUCUGGUGGCGGUUCCGUCAACAGAGUUCUCUUUGGGCUUCCUUUAUGAAGUCCAAGUACUGUAGAUCCGUGCAUCCGGGUGUUAUUCAGUUUCGAUAUCCUGCCUCCCCCCUUUGGAGACGCCUUUGUUCGAUUCGCGAGACGGCUGGACCCCACGAGCGUUGGCUUGUUGGGCAGGGCGAGUGCAGUUUCUGGUAUGAUUGUUGGUUGGGCUCUUGCCCCUUAUAUUUGUUUAACCCCGCAGCGGCAUCCUCGCGGCCGGUUUCUUUUUAUUGGCAGGGUGCAGUAUGGGACAGAGGUAAACUGGCGGACAUCCUGCCUAUAUCUAUUGUGGAGCAGAUUUUAUUGGUGCCUAUUUCUUGUGAGGAGCCCGACUUGAUUCGUUGGGAUCUUAGCCCCGAUGGCAACUUUCACUUACGGACCGCUUGGGAGCUUGUGCGGAGCCCCAGACCGAGAGAUGAGGUUUAUUCCAUUAUUUGGCAGAGGCAUAUCCCAUCGAGAGUAUCUUUUUUUCUCUGGCGCCUCAUUCACGGUUAUCUUGCCACUGACGAUGCCUUGUGCUUGAGGGGAUUCCACAUGGUUUCUAGGUGUUUGUGCGGACGGGCAGCGGAGACUCUUCGACACCUUUUUCUGGAUUGCCCGAGGACCCGCCAUAUUUGGGGCCACUACCAGUGGAUUUUGGGGAUGCGACAGCUUGAUUUUUUAUCCCCCCGUGCUCUGCUCCUGACCUGGAGACUUCGUGCCCCUUCCCGGACUCAUAUGUUGGUCCUCCUGCCUUGCUUCAUUCUGUGGCAGGUUUGGAAGGCCCGCAACGCUUACCGGUUUCACUCACAGUCUUUUUCUCCUGAUGCAGUCAUAUUUCAGGUUGCAUCCGACCUUAGACUUGCUGGUUCUGCUUUUGGUUUCAAGCCUCCCCAACUGCGGGGAGUCUUGAAUUCCCGGUUUUUGGAGGGUCUCAGAGUUCUUGUACCGCCUCGGAGGCCGGUUCGCCUAGUUGCCUGGAUGAGACCGCCGCCUGGGGUGGUCAAGCUGACAGUGGAUGGUUGCUCGAGGGGCAACCCUGGGAUGGCUGCUUCCGGGGGCAUCUUACGGGAUUAUCGGGGUGCAGUUCUAGCCGCAUUUGGUUCUUUCCUGGGCCAUCAGCCCAUCUUAUAUGCUGAGCUCAUGGCGAUUUGCGAGGGCUUGGAGUUAGCGUCACGACUUGGCCACUCGGUUCUUGAGGUAGAGUCGGAUUCGGCCACGGUGGUUUCAUGGGUUCACUCUCAGGGUUCUGUCCGAUGGGAUUAUUCUUACCUUCUCCGUCGAGCGUGUCGCCUGAUAUCUUCCGCUUCCAUUCAGGUGAGACAUGUCCUACGCGAGGCUACUUCUGCAGCAGACUUCUUGGCCAACUGGGCCUGCACUCAUCGAUCUAGUCGGCAUUUCUCUUCCCCUCAGGAGCUCCCUAGCGGCUUAUCGGGUAUCCUCCACACAGACGCCCAGUCGAUCCCGUAUGUGCGACGAUAGGCUUUUUUAUUACUAUUUCCUUUUGUAUUUCAUUAUCUUGCGGAGGUCUUGGCUCAUGUCCCCCUCCUUGUAUCUUCCGCUCUUUUCGGAUAUAUUUGACAGGUAGGGGUCCCGCCUAACCCCCCACCUUUUCUUUGGUGGUUUCAAAAAAAAAAAAAAACCCUAAAACCCUAAACCCUAAACCCUAAACCCUAAACCCUAAACCCUAAACCCUAAACCCUAAACCCUAAACCCUAAACCCUAAACCCUAAACCCUAAACCCUAAACCCUAAACCCUAAACCCUAAACCCUAAAAACCCUAAACCCUAAAACCCUAAACCCUAAACCCUAAACCCUAAACCCUAAACCCUAAAAUCCUAAAACCCUAAAACCCAAAACCCUGAAACCCUUAACCCUAAAACCCUAAACUCUAAACCCUUAACCCUUAAACCCU